rnacentral:rRNA from 1 species
UACGUAGGGGGCAAGCGUUGUCCGGAAUCAUUGGGCGUAAAGAGCGUGUAGGCGGCCCGAUAAGUCCGCUGUGAAAGUCCAGGGCUCAACCCUGGAAUGCCGGUGGAUACUGUCGGGCUCGAGUUCGGAAGAGGUGAGUGGAAUUCCUGGUGUAGCGGUGAAAUGCGCAGAUAUCAGGAAGAACACCCGUGGCGAAGGCGGCUCUCUGGGACGGUACUGACGCUGAGACGCGAAAGCGUGGGGAGCGAACAGG